CAGUAGCCGCGGGAAUACGUAGGUCCCGAGCGUUGUCCGGAUUUAUUGGGCGUAAAGCGAGCGCAGGCGGUUAGAUAAGUCUGAAGUUAAAGGCUGUGGCUUAACCAUAGUACGCUUUGGAAACUGUUUAACUUGAGUGCAAGAGGGGAGAGUGGAAUUCCAUGUGUAGCGGUGAAACGCGUAGAUAUAUGGAGGAACACCGGUGGCGAAAGCGGCUCUCUGGUCUGUAACUGACGCUGAGGCCCGAAAGCGUGGGGAGCGAACAGGAUUAGAUACCCGUGUAGUCCCUGUCUCUUAUACA
rnacentral:rRNA from 1 species